rnacentral:misc_RNA from 1 species
UACGGAGGGUGCGAGCGUUAAUCGGAUUUACUGGGCGUAAAGCGUGCGUAGGCGGCUUUUUAAGUGGGAGGUGAAAUCCCCGGGCUUAACCUGGGAAUUGCAUUCGAUACUGGGAAGCUAGAGUAUGGGAGAGGAUGGUAGAAUUCCAGGUGUAGCCGUGAAAUGCGUAGAGAUCUGGAGGAAUACCGAUGGCGAAGGCUGCCAUCUGGCCUAAUACUGACGCUGAGGUCCGAAAGCAUGGGGAGCAAACAGG